GACGAACGCUGGCGGCGUGCUUAACACAUGCAAGUCGAACGAUGAACCGGGUGCUUGCACUCGGGGAUUAGUGGCGAACGGGUGAGUAACACGUGAGCAACCUGCCCCUGACUCUGGGAUAAGCGCUGGAAACGGCGUCUAAUACUGGAUAUGUCCCGUCACCGCAUGGUGUGCGGGUGGAAAGAUUUUUCGGUUGGGGAUGGGCUCGCGGCCUAUCAGCUUGUUGGUGAGGUAAUGGCUCACCAAGGCGUCGACGGGUAGCCGGCCUGAGAGGGUGACCGGCCACACUGGGACUGAGACACGGCCCAGACUCCUACGGGAGGCAGCAGUGGGGAAUAUUGCACAAUGGGCGGAAGCCUGAUGCAGCAACGCCGCGUGAGGGAUGACGGCCUUCGGGUUGUAAACCUCUUUUAGCAGGGAAGAAGCGAGAGUGACGGUACCUGCAGAAAAAGCACCGGCUAACUACGUGCCAGCCGCCGCCGUAA
rnacentral:rRNA from 1 species